CCCUUAGAUGUCCUGGGCCGCACGCGCAUUACACUGAUGCAUUCAACGAGCUUAUAACCUUGGCCGAGAGGCCUGGGCAAUCUUGUUAACGUGCAUCGUGAUAGGGAUAGAUUAUUGAAAUUAUUAAUCUUGAACGAGGAAUUCCUAGUAAACGCAGAUCAUCAAUCUGCAUUGAUUACGUCCCUGCCCUUUGUACACACCGCCCGUCGCACCUACCGAUUGGAUGGUCCGGUGAAGCCUCGGGAUUGUGGUUCUUGCCGCUUUAUUGUGGCGUGACCGCGAGAACUUGUCUAAACCUUAUCAUCUAGAGGAAGGUGAAGUCGUAACA
rnacentral:rRNA from 1 species